rnacentral:misc_RNA from 1 species
CUGAAUCUGUCUAUUACAUUUAUUCUAGUAAGAAAACAAUUCCAAUCACUCCUAAUUUCAAACAAUUAGAGAUCCAAAAGCAAAACAGAACAAGAGAUUUUUACAUUGCAAUCCGUUGACCAUUCUUGAAUCCGCGAUCAGCAGACAAUUCCAAAGCGAAAUCUUCAACACGAACCACAGAUUCUACAAUCUGGAAUACGAUUCACGGGAACAAACAACCUUUUUCUGAACAAGAAAAUGCGAUUAUCCGUUAAAUACGAG